rnacentral:rRNA from 1 species
UGAGGGAUAUUGGUCAAUUGGCGAGAGCCUGAACCAGCCAAGUCGCGUGAAGGAAGAAGGUUCUAUGGAUUGUAAACUUCUUUUGUAAGGGAAUAAAAAGUGGUACGUGUACCAUAUUGUAUGUACUUUACGAAUAAGGAUCGGCUAACUCCGUGCCAGCAGCCGCGGUAAUACGGAGGAUCCAAGCGUUAUCUGGAUUUAUUGGGUUUAAAGGGUGCGUAGGCGGAUCUUUAAGUCAGUGGUGAAAGUUUGCGACUCAACCGUAAAAUUGCAGUUGAAACUGAAAAUAUUGAGUGUAAAUGAGGUAGGCGUAAUGUGUUGUGUAGCGGUAAAAUGCUUAGAUAUAACACAGAACACCAAUUGCGAAGGCAGCUUACUGGGAUACAACUGACGCUGAGGCACGAAUGCGUGGAGAUCAAAC